UUGAAAGAAACCGCCAUGACUCAGGAGAAGCAGCGAUGGCGGACACCCAGUGGCAACGGUGGUUUUCUACAAAUUGAGGACAAGCUCCUCCAUAUCCACAACUUCCACUCACUUGAAGUCCCAUCAUUAGCUCGGCCUGCUGGAGCUCCCACACCAGCCCACAGAAACCACCGUAAGUGUCGCGGGUUGGAGAAGGUCCCGGCACUGGUCAACCUCAGAAGGGAGAAGGGGCAGAAGAAGAGGAGACGUGUAUGUGCCAAGCUCCCUGUUGGGCUUUGUGGCUACAAAGAGGAAAACAACACCAGCCCUGCCUUCUGGGAUCUCCAAGUCCAAGAAGAGAGUCAGGAAGAUUCCCUCCCUCACGUAUCCACUCCCAUUACGGAUGCUCAUAGCAGAGCUGCUUCAUUUGCUUAAGGAUUUGGAGAGGUUUCUGUGAAAUGGCUCAUUCAGUGUUUCCAGUAUUUUCUCUGUAAGAUGCUGACAGAGAAGACGCUGCAGAAAAUGACAUGACGUAUCGUGGAGCUUGUUUUGCUCAGGAGAUAGCUUCUGGAAGGACAGGAUUAUGAAUCUCCAUAGUUUUGCUAACAUGUAUUUGCUGGAGGGUUUGGUUUAGAGACUUUAGCGGCUAUGGAGUGUAUGAUGAAAAGCCACUGCUAUAUUGAAAUAGUGCCCCUCUCCCCAGGAGCACCACAGCCCCAACUCCCAACAGAGCUGUUCCUUCUUUGUAAACAUGAUGUUCUGGCUCUGUGGUAGCUGUGCACUGGUGUGUGUGUGUAGCUAAUUUUCCACCUGGUCACUGGAAUGUACCUGAUAAUUGAAGUGCCUGGCCAUAGGUGUCCUGCACUUGACAGCAUGGUCACGCAAGCAUUGGCCUGCAGCCUAUCGGGCCAUAUUACCGUGCCUGGACGAGUGUGAGCUGUCCUCACACUGAUUAGGACAAAGUCCAGGGCAAGUCGAGCUAACAGUUUUUCUUAACUUAUUAGAAAUGCAAACCCAACUUAAAUGAUAUGCCGCAUUCUGAACAGUGGAAAAAUAUUUGUAGUGCCCUUCAGACAGUGCUUCUGAGUUCCAAACACCAAACUUUAAAACAUGUAAAUGUCAAUUGACAAACAUGAAAGGAUUCUCAUAGGGUAAGAGCAGCAGUGAUGUUUCCAUGGACAUUUCAAACUCCCACUCAGCCAUUGACAGUUAUUGUGAGAACUGAUUUUUCCUCUCCUCUCCUCUCUUUUCCAUUUUGUAUAAAAU
ensembl:lncRNA